UACGUAGGGGGCUAGCGUUAUCCGGAAUUACUGGGCGUAAAGGGCAGGCAGGCGGAUCCAUAAGUUUAUCGUUUAAGGCGUCGGCUUAACCGGCGUAGGGCGGUAGAUACUGUGGAUCUGGAAUGCGGUUGGGGAAGACAGAAUUCCUGGUGUAGCGGUGGAAUGCGCAGAGAUCAGGAGGAAUACCGAAGGCGAAGGCAGUCUUCCAAGCCGUUAUUGACGCUCAACUGCGAAGGUGUGGGUAUCAAACAGGAUUAGAUACCCGCGUAGUCCCUGA
rnacentral:rRNA from 1 species